rnacentral:rRNA from 1 species
GACGAACGCUGGCGGCGUGCUUAACACAUGCAAGUCGAACGGAAAGGCCCUGCUUUUGUGGGGUGCUCGAGUGGCGAACGGGUGAGUAACACGUGUGUAACCUGCCCUUGACUUUGGGAUAACUUCAGGAAACUGGGGCUAAUACCGGAUAGGAUCUCCUGCUCCACGGUGGGGGUUGGAAAGAUUCGGCGGUUGUGGAUGGACUCGCGGCUUAUCAGCUUGUUGGUGGGGUAGUGGCUUACCAAGGCUUUGACGGGUAGCCGGCCUGAGAGGGUGACCGGCCACAUUGGGACUGAGAUACGGACCAGACGCCUACGGGAGGCAGCAGUCGGGAAUAUUGCACAAUGGGCGGAAGCCAGAUGCAGCAACGCCGCGUGCGUGAUGACGGCCUUCGGGUUGUAAACCGCUUUCGCCUGAGACGAAGCCUGAGUGACGGUAAUGGGUAAAGAAGCACCGGCUAACUACGUG